rnacentral:rRNA from 1 species
GACAGAGGGGGCAAGCGUUGCUCGGAAUCACUGGGCGUAAAGGGCGCGUAGGCGGGAUGGCAAGUCGGUCGUGAAAUCUCUCGGCUCAACCGAGAAACGUCGGCCGAUACUGCCGUUCUUGAGGGAUGCAGAGGAGACUGGAAUUCCCGGUGUAGCGGUGAAAUGUGUAGAGAUCGGGAGGAACACCAGUGGCGAAGGCGGGUCUCUGGGCAUUUCCUGACGCUGAGGCGCGAAAGCGUGGGGAGCAAACGGG